rnacentral:sRNA from 2 species
UUAUAAACUCGUUAGGUGAGGCUCCUGGGUGGAUAUAAGCUGCUGCCCAAAAACGUCGAGAGACGCCAAUGGGUAUAACAGACAGUGUCGGCUUAAGGCCUGUCUAAUGCAGCUGGUCCUCUUCUACCUUAUUAGAUAUUAAAUUUCGGAUCUACGUCACCCAGUGCCAAAGCUAAGACGAGGAGUGCGUAA